rnacentral:rRNA from 1 species
AGCAGCCGCGGUAAUUCCAGCUCCAAUAGCGUAUAUUAAAGUUGUUGCAGUUAAAAAGCUCGUAGUUGAAUUUCGGGAUCAAAUUGUCGGUCGUGCCUCGGUACGCACUGGUAUUAUUGGUUCCUACCUUCUGAAGAACCGCGAUGUCAUUAAUUUGGUGUCGUGGGGAAUCAGGACUGUUACUUUGAAAAAAUUAGAGUGUUUAAAGCAGGCUUACGCUUGAAUACAUUAGCAUGGAAUAAUGAAAUAGGACGUUUGAUUCUAUUUUGUUGGUUUCUAGGAUUGACGUAAUGAUUAAUAGGGAUAGUUGGGGGCAUUAGUAUUCAAUUGUCAGAGGUGAAAUUCUUGGAUUUAUUGAAGACUAACUACUGCGAAAGCAUUUGCCAAGGAUGUUUUCAUUAAUCAAGAACGAAAGUUAGGGGAUCGAAGACGAUCAGAUACCGUCGUAGUCUUAACCAUAAACUAUGCCGACUAGGGAUCGGAUGAUGUUAAUUUUUUUAAUGACUCAUUCGGCGCCUUA